GGAUGCCUGUGAUGAAUAGAAAUUUUGCCUACAUUGUCUGAUUUUGUUUAUACAAUGAAGAGAAAAUUAUAGAUUUCUGAGGCGUUU